rnacentral:rRNA from 1 species
AUGUGGCUCGCUGUUCAUCGCAGGUGCUUGACCGCAAAUAAUUUGGAGAGGAGGGGUUGGCCUUCUAAUGGCAACUGUUCAUUGUGCAUCUCGACACAUCAAGACUGCACACAUCUUUUUGUGCAUUGUCGGUUUACUCAGCAGGUUUGGAGGAGGUUCAGGGACUGGACGAGAGCGUAUUUUCUUGUUCCGGAUGACAGCUAUGCCAAUACUGAGGAUUGGUGGCUGAGAACACGGAAGGAUAUCCCCAAGUCUGACAGGCGCAAUUUUGACACCAUUAUCAUUCUCAUCCACUGGAGGAUCUGGAAAGAAAGAAAUGCGAGAACUUUUUAGCAUGUGGUCUGCAGCGUUGAAAGGGUGUUGGAUUUAAUUAGAGAAGACAUCAGGGCCCGGAGAGCAGCGGGUUGUAUCGGUGACCUUUUUUGA